rnacentral:lncRNA from 1 species
GUAAUGAAUGUGCCAGUCAAGCCUUAACCUCUUCCUGUGAUUAAGGCAUUAUGACAUCAUGGGCAUCGAAAGAUGAUGUCAUAAUCUUUCACCCACAUCCACUUGCCUGAAACAAGAUUUAGUAGUCAGCUCAAAAGGCUAAGAGAGAGCUUUCAGCAUCCAACAAGAUUCAAGCUAUUGCAACAGUUUGCUGUACAACUCAAAGCUUAACCAGGUGGAUCGAGAUGGGAUUGUGAACUGCUGCUUUUGUUCUCUCCAGCCACAACAGAGGAUAUUCAGGCUGGAUGACCUCAUGGGAAUUUUUAACUUCAACCACAUCUGCGGUCUGAAAAGACAAUAGUGUUGCAGCAAACAUCAGCUCUUCCACAGCCCCACGUCUAUUGAGUCCAU